GACGAACGCUGGCGGCGUGCUUAACACAUGCAAGUCGAACGGAAAGGCCCUGCUUUUGUGGGGUGCUCGAGUGGCGAACGGGUGAGUAACACGUGAGUAACCUGCCCUUGACUUUGGGAUAACUUCAGGAAACUGGGGCUAAUACCGGAUAGGAGCUCCUGCUGCAUGGUGGGGGUUGGAAAGUUUCGGCGGUUGGGGAUGGACUCGCAGCUUAUCAGCUUGUUGGUGGGGUAGUGGCUUACCAAGGCUUUGACGGGUAGCCGGCCUGAGAGGGUGACCGGCCACAUUGGGACUGAGAUACGGCCCAGAAUCCUACGGGAGGCAGCAGUGGGGAAUAUUGCACAAUGGGCGGAAGCCUGAUGCAGCAACGCCGCGUGCGGGAUGACGGCCUUCGGGUUGUAAACCGCUUUCGCCUGUGACGAAGCGUGAGUGACGGUAAUGGGUAAAGAAGCACCGGCUAACUACGUG
rnacentral:rRNA from 1 species